CCUACGGGAGGCAGCAGUUGGGAAUUUUGGACAAUGGGCGAAAGCCUGAUCCAGCCAUGCCGCGUGUGUGAAGAAGGUCUUCGGAUUGUAAAGCACAUUAAGUUGGGAGGAAGGGCAGUUGCCUAAUACGUAACUGUUUUGACGUUACCGACAGAAUAAGCACCGGCUCACUCUGUGCCAGCAGCCGCCGUAAU
rnacentral:rRNA from 1 species